rnacentral:rRNA from 1 species
AUUGAACGCUGGUGGCAGGCUUAACACAUGCAAGUCGAGCGAGCGGCGGACGGGUGAGUAAUGUAUGGGGACUGCCUGAUAGAGGGGGAUAACUACUGGAAACGGUGGCUAAUAACGCAUACCAUAGGAUAACCCAUAUGGGAUUAGCUAGUAGGUGGGGUAAAGGCUCACCUAGGCGACGAUCUCUAGCUGGUCUGAGAGGAUGAUCAGCCCCACUGUGACUGGGACACGGCCCAGAGUCCUACGUAGGCAGCAGUGGGGAAUAUUGCACAAUGGGCGCAAGCAUGAUGCAGCCAUGCCGCGUGUAUGAAGAAGGCCUUAGAGUUGUAAAGUACUUUCAGCGGGGAGGCGUUACCCGCAGAAGAAGCACCGGCUAACUCCGUGCCGGCAGCAGCGGUAAUUC